AGAGUUUGAUCCUGGCUCAGGAUGAACACUAGCUACAGGCUUAACACAUGCAAGUCGGAGGGGAAACGACAUCGAAAGCUUGUCUUUUGAUGGGCGUCGACCGGCGCGACGGGUGAGUAACGCGUAUCCAACCUGCCCACCACUUGGGGAUAACCUUGCGAAAGUAAGACUAAUACCCAAUGACGUCUCUAGAAGACAUCUGAAGGAGAUUAAAGAUUUAUCGGUGAUGGAUGGGGAUGCGUCUGAUUAGCUUGUUGGCGGGGUAACGCCACCAAGGCGACGAUCAGUAGGGGUUCUGAGAGGAGGUCCCCCANAUUGGAACUGAGACACGGUCCAAACUCCUACGGGAGCA
rnacentral:rRNA from 1 species